GACGAACGCUGGCGGCGUGCUUAACACAUGCAAGUCGAACGAUGAACUUGGAGCUUGCUCUGGGGGAUUAGUGGCGAACGGGUGAGUAACACGUGAGUAACCUGCCCUGGACUCUGGGAUAACUUCGAGAAAUCGGAGCUAAUACCGGAUAGGACCUUGCACCGCAUGGUGUGGGGAGGAAAGUUUUUCGGUUUGGGAUGGACUCGCGGCCUAGCAGCUUGGUGGUGAGGUAAUGGCUCACCAAGGCGUCGACGGGUAGCCGGCCUGAGAGGGUGACCGGCCACACUGGGACUGAGACACGGCCCAGACUCCUACGGGAGGCAGCAGUGGGGAAUAUUGCACAAUGGGCGCAAGCCUGAUGCAGCAACGCCGCGUGCGGGAUGACGGCCUUCGGGUUGUAAACCGCUUUUAGUAGGGAAGAAGCCUUCGGGUGACGGUACCUGCAGAAAAAGGACCGGCUAACUACGUGCCAGCCGCCGCGGUAAAAC
rnacentral:rRNA from 1 species